rnacentral:rRNA from 1 species
GGGGAAUAUUGGACAAUGGGCGCAAGCCUGAUCCAGCCAUGCCGCGUGAGUGAUGACGGCCUUAGGGUUGUAAAGCUCUUUCGCACGCGACGAUAAUGACGGUAGCGUGAGAAGAAGCCCCGGCUAACUUCGUGCCAGCAGCCGCGGUAAUACGAAGGGGGCUAGCGUUGUUCGGAUUAACUGGGCGUAAAGGGUGCGUAGGCGGAUUUUUAAGUCAGGGGUGAAAUCCCAAGGCUCAGCCUUGGAACGGCCUUUGAUACUGGGGAUCUUGAGUCCGGGAGGGGUGAGUGGAACUGCGAGUGUAGAGGUGACAUACGUAGAUAUUCGCAAGAACACCAGUGGCGGAGGCGGCUCACUGGCCCGGACCUGGCGCUGAGGCACGAAAGCGUGGGGAGCAAA